CCUACGGGGGGCAGCAGUGGGGGAUAUUGCACAAUGGGGGGAACCCUGAUGCAGCGACGCCGCGUGGGUGAAGGAGUGCUUCGGCAUGUAAAGCCCUAUCGGCAGGGAAGAAGCAAGACGGUACCUGACUAAGAAGCCCCGGCUAACUACGUGCCAGCAGCCGCGGUAAUACGCAGGGGGCGAGCGUUAUCCGGAUUCACUGGGUGUAAAGGGAGCGUAGACGGGUAUGCAAGCCAGGGGGGAAAGCCUGGGGCCCAACCCCGGAAGUGCCCUUGGAACUGGGCGGCUAGAGUGCGGGAGGGGCAGGCGGAAUUCCUGGUGUAGCGGUGAAAUGCGUAGAUAUCAGGAAGAACACCGGCGGCGAAGGCGGCCUGCUGGACCGCGACUGACGUUGAGGCUCGAAAGCGUGGGGAGCGAACAGGAUUAGAUACCCUGGUAGUC
rnacentral:rRNA from 1 species